rnacentral:rRNA from 1 species
GACGAACGCUGGCGGCGUGCUUAACACAUGCAAGUCGAACGGAAAGGCCCUGCUUUUGUUGGGUGCUCGAGUGGCGAACGGGUGUGUAUCACGUGAGUAACCUCCCCUUGUCUUUGGGAUAACUUCAGGAAACUGGGGCUAAUACCGGAUAGAAGCUCCUGCUGCAUGGUGGGGGUUGGUAAGUUUCGGCGGUUGGGGAUGGACUCGCGGCUUCUGAGCUUGUUGGUGGGGUAGUGACAUACCAAGGUUUUGACGGGUAGCCGGCCUGAGAGAGGAACCGGCCACAUUGGGACUGAGAGACGGCGCAGUCUCCUACGGGACGCAGCAGUGGGGAAUAUUACACAGUGGGCGGAAGCCUGAUGCAGCAACGCCGCGUGCGGGAUGACGGCCUUCGGGUUGUAAACCGCUUUCGCCUGUGACGAAGCGAGAGUGACGGUAAUGGGUAAAGAAGCACCGGCUAACUACGUG